UAUAGCUAUAUAAAACGAAAUAAAAAAUAAAUUUCUCGUAUAAAACAAAUGGAAAGUAUAAAAACAGUUAGAUCUGACAGACGCAAUUGGUAAAAAAAGAAAAAUGAAAUCCUAAAACAAGGGAUUAAUUACAUCGAUCAAUUAGAUGAUUCCAGGAAAUCGGGCAAACAUUACUUUCUCUUUGUAUGUAGCUUCGGCGAAUAGACUAAUUAGAAAAAUUCUGUAAUAAACCAGAAUACAGCUUCGGAUCACAAUUAUUUGUCUUUCUGAUGAAAAGUAAAGAAACGAAGAAAUCAACUUAAUUUUUGUCCUCGUUAAAACGAUCAUGCUACAAAGAGCAAUUCUAACGAAACGUCACUUUCUAUAGGGGAGAAAUUAAUGAUGUAACGUGACCCUGUUUACCCGUAGGAUGACUAAGAAUUCAUACCCAGGAAACAAUGUGUUCCUCGAAACGAUCAGGAACGAUACAGCUGGAACGGCUUUUGCAAGGCUAUAGAUGCACGUGUAACCCUGCACGUGAUUCAAAGCAACGAUAAAACUUGCAUGUUCCUCAAGUUUGUCAAGUUUCUCAAGACUUCUAUCACCGUAACUAGUAAGAAAUAGGAGACAAACAACAACUUGAUUUGGACUUAAAUCAAGUGUAGCGAAUGGAAAGAUGCGAAACUUCCAACGACUCAAAUAUUUCAGUUAUUUAAAGAAUAUUGAUGAGAAUACCAUAGGGUGCGAAAAAAGCAACGAGGCAAAUAGCUUGUUAAAGACAUGAUUUUGUUGCCUCCUUGAAGAAGCAAUUCCGUUUCUUAUGAGAUUGAAACACGCUACACCCUUGUCAAAUCGAGGGCCACUGUGGCCACUUUUUAUCUUCAGACCUCAAGGAGCCUCCUACACGUCGUUUUAUCUACUAUCGAGAUUUUGUCGGUGAACAAUGACCGUCUUUUAUUUAUUAAGGGUGGGCUCCUACACUUUAUGACGUAGAUUUAUGGUUCAUGAUGUAUAUCUACCGAAAUAAUUUUAUUUCUCCAUCGUUUUCAAUUAUGUUAACGAGAAGUGGAAAAGGUUGAAGAAGGUUGCACCGAUACAGGCGAAUCAUCGAGAUAGGCCGAGUCCGACUGGUGAACUUGACCUUCACCUCGUACCCGACUACCUUCGAUCGAAUCUCCAUGCUGGUGGGGCCGGGAAUUCUCCGAAAGAAGGUUAACAGAACCUUCUUCGUAGGCACGUGUAUGACGUCAGUGUAAUCAGAAGGACGAUUCGUGCAGGGUUAGCGUGACUGGUGGUUAGGCUUCUAUUCGCGACGAAGGUAGCGAAGGAGAAACGACGAUUCGCGUGUCAGCCAACCGAAAAUCGCUCUUCUCGACCCAACUCCUCUUCAAUGGCAAUUCCUCUUUCCUACCAAUCCACCAACCGAUCGAUUCCAACCGCCCACUAUUGAAACCAUCGUUCGACGAAUCCCGCGUGAGUCAUCUCGUUUCUACCCUCUUUCGAUGACCUUGCUAGAUAAACACCGUGCAUUGCGACACGAGGACUACUUUGGUACUAAUCACUGAUUUUCAUCGACAUUACAGCUCUUGAUUGCACGCGAACAGCCUUUCAUAAAAAAGACCCGAUACAGGAUCGAAAUACCCGAACAAGAUAAAGAAAAUCCUACAGAUCCGUAACAGAAUCGACAUACGCUUUUCUGUAUAACCAGUUUCUGACGCCACUACUUAACCAGGAUCAAUGGAUGGACUACACGAUACACAAGCUUCGUCACUGAAACGUGACAAAGCGUCUGAAAUCGCGUUGACCUACGUCACUGCGAAAUUAACGCAACGACAAGGUGGAAAAUGGAAAAUGGAAAAUUGUAUAAAUAUCCCGAGGCUGCACGCAAGACGAUGGAAAAAGAACCUUGUUCCUUCGGAAGUGCUGUGUUAGAGGCUUUUCAAAAAUAAACCUGCACCACGUGUAGCCUUGAUCCUGUGCACGCAAUGCCGCAUACACAUGUGACACAUGAGGAUAAGAACGGGACACACGCACGUGUACGUAAGUAUGUACGUACGUACAUACGACUAUCCUGCAUAGGCUGCAUACCGGCAGUGCAUAAUAUUAUAAGUCGAUUUAUGGACGAGGGGAAGCUUUGUAGAUUUAUGACCGGAUUCGCGAAUUUCUACCGUUACGUCAUGUACUCUGUAGAUGCUAUUUACAAAUCUCUCUUGUAUUACUGAAAUUCACCUAAAAUCCCUACUGUCAUUUCAAAUAAAGACCCACUAUUUUAAUAUACGUAUACACAAGUUUCAAUUCCAGCUAAAUCCAGCUACGUCCUACGCGUUCUUCGGUGCAACUAUGUGGCCGAAAAGCUGUCUUAAGGUGAACGGAACUAGCUCUAUGAUUCCCAUGUGUCUAUGAGGAAAACGUUAAGUAUGAGAGAGAUAGAGUGAAAUUGAGGGGAAUACGGAGGUGGAGUAAAGUCAUAAAAGUAGGGCAGUAGUGCGGUAGAGCAAUCAAUAGAGGCCGGAUCAUGGUGGGGGAUCGGGGCAUUAAGCCACCGUCGAAUUUUGGCUCCCCAGGAGAACGGAUUUUCCUCUCUAGCUUCUCAACAGAAAAAUCAAUUCUCAAUCACUUCAUUUA